GAGCUUCAUUAACCUAUUUGCAGGUGCUCUGCUUUCCGAGCUGCCUGUGCUCAGAAAAAAAAAAAAACAACAACACCACUUUCAAAAUUCUCUGACGCAGCCUGCCGCCUCAGUUCAGAGGUAGAUGACUGAGACUGCAGAACAGCUGCAGAGCAUUUAACUGACCGGAAAGACCAGAACUGAGAACACUUCCCUGGAGGCCAGAACCCGCACUGAAGAAGAGGCUGAUAACCAACCUGGGAAGCUUAAUCAAGCCAAGCUCUUCCUGCCAGGCAUCUUAGCAUGCAUCUCAUGAUUCGGAUGCCAUCCCAGAGGAACAAAUGUCCCCCAUCAGCGGAGACCUGAAGGCCAGAGACAGUCCCCUGGGCCAAGGCAGUAAAGCCUUUGGUCAAGCUGGGGCCUGGCCCCACCCCGUAAGUGUCUCCCUGCUCUGGAGAGGGCGUGCCGAGAGGCGGGCACGGAAGGAGACCAGUCCGCAGCCUGAGCUGCAGCACCAGCCUCCUCGCCUGACAGUUCACCCACAAGAGGAAAGUGAAGUCUGCUCCACCUUCCUUUUCCAUGGACAAGGGCAGAGAUUUUAAUUAUAAUGAGUUCUGGAAAGUCACCCUCAUUUUCUGAGAGAGAGGAAACGUGGCCCUGUUUUUUCUUUCUCUUAGAAAGAUGAAGCAGCAGACACUUGGUACAUACAUUAGAGAAAAAGAAGUCAAUAGACCACAACACAAAGAAGAUAAAUGGAUGACCAAUAUCGAUCCAAAUAGAACAAAGACUGUUUCAACGUCCGCCCCCAAAACACAGUUUCAGGAGUUUCUAACGAAUCAGUAUGCAGACGUUUCUUAAAUACCUAUUGAAUGGCACUGUUCUAGUGGUUUUUGUGCUAACUGAAUUCCCUAAUCGAGGUGGAUUUAUGAGUAGGAAAAAAAAAUGUGGUGCCGUCUAAGCAGGAAGAGAAAGCCAGCAGUCAUGUAUUCCAUGCAUGCUCUGACACAGUGUUUCCGAAGGCCAGGUCACCCACCUGUUGGCUAUUUUAGGAAGGGGGAUUCUGGAGGCAGCUGGGGCUCUGCCGUAAAUAACUUGCACCCCGAUGUUCUAGCACUGAGCCCUGCUUGUCACAUCUUUCUAAGAGACCUGGAUUUUGGAGAUGCCUCAGGUGACCACUCCCUCUGGAGCCCCAGAAAAUGACAGAGGCUGCCAAGUGGUCACCAUCACUUUCUUCCCAUCAGCCCUUGCCCCUUGCAAGCUGGCUCUUGGCUUCCAAGGACUUUCUGCUGUUUGAAGGCCGGCAGAACAGCAGCUGCCUGAGAAUAAUCACUGUGACUGUUGAGGCUAUUGGUGACC